rnacentral:rRNA from 1 species
GACGAACGCUGGCGGCGUGCCUAAUACAUGCAAGUUGAGCGCUGAAGGUUGGUACUUGUACCUACUGGAUGAGCAGCGAACGGGUGAGUAACGCGUGGGGAAUCUGCCUUUGAGCGGGGGACAACAUUUGGAAACGAAUGCUAAUACCGCAUAAAAACUUUAAACACAAGUUUUAAGUUUGAAAGAUGCAAUUGCAUCACUCAAAGAUGAUCCCGCGUUGUAUUAGCUAGUUGGUGAGGUAAAGGCUCACCAAGGCGAUGAUACAUAGCCGACCUGAGAGGGUGAACGGCCACAGUGGGACAGAGACACGGCCCAAACUCCUACGGGAAGCAGCAGGAGGGAAUCUUCGGCAAUGGACGAAAGUCUGACCGAGCAACGCCGCGUGAGGGAAGAAGGGUUUCGGAUCGGAAAACUCUGUUGGUAGAGAAGAACGAUGGUGGGAGUGGAAAGCUCAUCAAGUGACGGUAACUACACAGAAAGGGACGGCUAACUACGUG